ACAAACUUGGUCAUUUAGAGGAAGUAAAAGUCGUAACAAGGUUUCCGUAGGUGAACCUGCGGAAGGAUCAUUAUCGAAUUCUUUCAGAGACGGGUUGUUGCUGGCCUUCACGGGCAUGUGCACGCCCCGAUCGAAACAUACACCUGUGCACUCUUUGUAGCGGGGAGGGGGCGACUCCUCUUCCGCUAUGUUUUUACACACCCUUUUAAAACAAGUCUACAGAAUGUAUACGUCGUGUGCGCCUUAAAAAAGCGAACCGCAAAAAAACUAUAUAACUUUCAACAACGGAUCUCUUGGCUCUCGCAUCGAUGAAGAACGCAGC
rnacentral:misc_RNA from 1 species